rnacentral:rRNA from 1 species
AUUGAACGCUGGCGGCAUGCUUUACACAUGCAAGUCGAACGGUAACAGGCCUUCGGGUGCUGACGAGUGGCGAACGGGUGAGUAAUGCAUCGGAACGUGCCCAGAGGUGGGGGAUAACGCAGCGAAAGCUGUGCUAAUACCGCAUGUGAUCUGAGGAUGAAAGCGGGGGACCAGGCAGCAAUGUUUGGCCUCGCGCCUUUGGAGCGGCCGAUGUCAGAUUAGGUAGUUGGUGGGGUAAAGGCCUACCAAGCCGACGAUGUGUAGCUGGUCUGAGAGAACGACCAGCCACACUGAAACUGCGACACGGCCCAGACUCCUACGGGAGGCAGCAGAGGGGAAUUUUGGACAAUGGGCACAAGCCUACUCCAGCAAUGCCGCGUGCGGGAAGAAGGCCUUCGGGUUGUAAACCGCUUUUGUACGGAACGAAAAGGCUCUGGCUAAUACCUGGGGCUGAUGACGGUACCGUAAGAAUAAGCACCGGCUAACUACGUG